UACGGAGGGUGCAAGCGUUAUCCGGAUUCACUGGGUUUAAAGGGUGCGUAGGCGGGUUGGUAAGUCAGUGGUGAAAUCUUCAAGCUUAACUUGGAAACUGCCGUUGAUACUAUCAAUCUUGAAUGUUGUGGAGGUAAGCGGAAUAUGUCAUGUAGCGGUGAAAUGCUUAGAUAUGACAUAGAACACCGAUAGCGAAGGCAGCUUGCUGCACAAUAAUUGACGCUGAGGCACGAAAGCGUGGGGAUCAAACAGG
rnacentral:rRNA from 1 species